rnacentral:misc_RNA from 1 species
GAUGAAGAACGCAGCGAAAUGCGAUAAUUAAUGUGAAUUGCAGAAUUUAGUGAAUCAUCGAAUCUUUGAACGCACAUUGCGCCCCUUGGUAUUCCGAGGGGCAUGCCUGUUCGAGCGUCAUUAUAACCCCUCAAGCUCAGCUUGGUGUUGGGGCCUGCUGCACUGGCAGCCCUUAAAAUCAGUGGCGGCGCCAUCUGGCUCUAAGCGUAGUAAUUCUUCUCGCUAUGGAGUCCUGGUGGAUGCUUGCCAUCAACCCCCAAUUUUUCUAUGGUUGACCUCGGAUCAGGUAGGGAUACCCGCUGAACUUAAGCAUAUCAAUAAGCGGAGGA